UUUUGAUUUCGUUUUUCAUUUUCUCUCUUUCUUUCUCACUCUUUCUCUCUUUCUCUCUAACUUCUUUUAUAUAUCUAUAAAAAAUGGAAAAUGCAGUGACUGUGUGAUUUUCACAACAUCUUUACUUAUAGUAUAUUCAUUUCAGUCAUAGGAAGCUUAGCAGGGAAAUAGGAAUUUCAUCUGGUUGGUAGGAAGAAUACCUACUUGGUAUUCAGGGGAGUUCAAGUUCAGGGAGUUUAAUGGGAGCAGCCCAUUCAGCAGGAAAGUAAUCUUUGAUGUGUAGGUACAGUAGUUCAGUGCUCUGACACUACAUUUGCUGGACUGGAGACAGAGCAUGUGAGCUGUGCUGAGAUCUUGGAUGUUCCUGAUACUUCAAAGUGGCAUAGAAAGAAGAAAAUAAACGAAAGAGAACUGAAUUCUUCGGGUGUUGUGACCCUGACUGGUGCUGGGGGAUAGAGGAAGAUAAACACAGCUUUGCUGGUGGGGAAGAGGCCAACUGCAACCCUCCAUCCCUUCAGGGGGUUUCACCAGAGAGGAAGAAUUUCACAAGGAAUAGGUUGAAAUAAAAUUAAUUUCCAGCCUCACAGACAGGUGCAGCAAACCAUUUCCCAGUUUAGUUUAGUUAAAGGCAAGAG
rnacentral:lncRNA from 1 species